CGAUUAGAGUGUUCACCGCAGGCCCAUUCACUUUUCUGCCACCGAAUACAUUAGCAUGGGAUAAUGGAAUAGGACCCUGUCCUCCUUUUUUCAGUUGGUUAAUUCAUGAGAGAGGAACAGGGUAAUGAUUAAUAGGGAUAGUUGGGGGCAUUAAUAUUUAAUUGUCAGAGGUGAAAUUCUUGGAUUUAUGAAAGAUUAACUUCUGCGAAAGCAUCUGCCAAGGAUGUUUUCAUUAAUCAAGAACGAAAGUUAGGGGAUCGAAGACGAUCAGAUACCGUCGUAGUCUUAACCAUAAACGAUGCCGACCAGCGAUUAGGAGACGUUGAAUACAAAACACCUCUAUAUAUAAUUCAGUAUAUGGCUAGCAAUGGCUGUAUAUUGUUUGUGUAUAGUUACGGUGAAUGACUCCCCUAGCCGAUUGUGAGAAAAAA
rnacentral:rRNA from 1 species